ACCGGGUGCCGGCUCACGCACAAGCCCAGCCUGUGGCAGAACGACUGGAGCCCUCUGCGAAGCACCUGCCGCAGCAUCCUCCACCAGAUCCAGCUCGCAGGCACUCCCGGCCGUCUUAAAAAGCACAUGUGACACGUAGCAUGAGUUCUGGACUGGUGCUUGCUCUGCAGGUAACACAUCCAGGCAAGAAAGAAAAGAUCCCAAGAAAGAAAAAGUAGCCUCAACCUACCCUAUGUGUCUCUUCUAAGAGUGAAGAAGCACCUUCCCAGAUGACUCCCAACAGAUUUCCUCUUAAGUCUCAUUUCCUGUGGUCAUGUCUAAAUCAAUCACUGAUGAGAAGAAGAAGAAUGUGAUCAGUUUAGAUCAAUCUGGGGUCACACUAGGGCUGGGAAUAGAGCCAGACUUUUCUCUGAGCAUACUGUCAUGUGGAAGUUUUUCUAGGGUUUACUUUGUGUAUUGUUUUAAAUCAAAGUUCUUUUAGGAAGAAUGGUAUGGUCAUGGGGAUGUUUGGAUAUUGGGCAGGUGAUACUAACCUGGGUGCUAGGUAGGGUUUUCUGUAUGAAUCACAUUUGCUUCUGGAGACCAAACUUUUUGAAUAGAAAAUAAAGCUAUAUUCUGUCAAAGGAA